AUCCUUUUGUGGUUCAUAAACGUGAUGACUUCCAGUUCACACACGUGGGAGAUGUGCCUCUGCCCUGGAACAGGUCAACACAUCACCUGUUUGAUG
ensembl:snoRNA